rnacentral:rRNA from 1 species
UGCGUAGGCGGAUUAAUAAGUCAGUGGUGAAAUCUUUCGGCUCAACCGAGAAACUGCCAUUGAUACUGUUAAUCUUGAGUUCGGUUGAGGUAGGCGGAAUGUGUAAUGUAGCGGUGAAAUGCUUAGAUAUUACACAGAACACCAAUUGCGUAGGCAGCUUACUAGACCGACACUGACGCUGAGGCAUGAAAGCGUGAGGAGCGAACAGGAUUAGAUACCCUGGUAGUCC